rnacentral:rRNA from 1 species
UACGAAGGGUGCAAGCGUUACUCGGAAUUACUGGGCGUAAAGCGUGCGUAGGUGGUUUGUUAAGUCUGUUGUGAAAGCCCCGGGCUCAACCUGGGAAUGGCGAUGGAUACUGGCUCGCUAGAGUGCAGUAGAGGAGAGUGGAAUUCCCGGUGUAGCAGUGAAAUGCGUAGAGAUCGGGAGGAACAUCAGUUGCGAAGGCGGCUCUCUGGACCAGCACUGACACUGAGGCACGAAAGCGUGGGGAGCAAACAGG